AUGGCUGUCGUCAGCUCGUGUCGUGAGAUGUUGGGUUAAGUCCCGCAACGAGCGCAACCCUCGCCUUUAGUUACCAUCAUUCAGUUGGGGACUCUAAAGGAACCGCCGGUGAUAAGCUGGAGGAAGGUGGGGAUGACGUCAAGUCCUCAUGGCCCUUACGCGCUGGGCUACACACGUGCUACAAUGGCGACUACAGUGGGCGGCAAUCCCGCGAGGGUGAGCUAAUCUCCAAAAGUCGUCUCAGUUCGGAUUGUUCUCUGCAACUCGAGAGCAUGAAGGCGGAAUCGCUAGUAAUCGCGGAUCAGCAUGCCGCGGUGAAUACGUUCCCAGGCCUUGUACACACCGCCCGUCACACCAUGGGAGUUGGAUUCACCCGAAGGCGUUGCGCUAACUCGCAAGAGAGGCAGGCGACCACGGUGGGUUUAGCGACUGGGGUGAAGUCGUAACAAGGUAGCCGUAGGGGAACCUGCGGCUGGAUCACCUCCUUUCUAAGGAACGCGGCGGAAAGCGCCGGUCACUUCGGUGAGCGGAAGAGCUUCCUCCAUGUCCUGUGAACAUUGCCGCCGUCCUCAUGUCCCUUCAUCACUGGAAACACUCUCUUGACGGGAGUGGCGCCUGAGCUGGCUCACGCCGCCCGCGGCCUUAAUGGUCAGCCGGGCAUGGCAUGGGGGCCGGUAGCUCAGGUGGUUAGAGCGCACGCCUGAUAAGCGUGAGGUCGUAGGUUCAACUCCUACUCGGCCCACCAUUGCGACGAAAUUGGUAGGGGGCCUUAGCUCAGCUGGGAGAGCGGUUGCUUUGCAAGCAUCAGGUCAUCGGUUCGAUCCCGAUAGGCUCCACCAUCAUUUGCCCGGCGCUGUUGUGCGGGGCGGGCUCGGCAUAUUUUCCAGGGAUGAAGACACGAGAUCCGUGGCGGUUUUCCGCUGCGGUACUGGAGCAUCUGGCUCCUCUUUGACAUUGUAAAUGGGUUCUUAAAAUCGAUGCCGUGAUGGUAUCGGCGUUGGGAUCCGGACGGGUGGUUUCGACUGCGCGUGCGAUCUUUUUGCCGGUUCAAUCACUUAAUAAUCUGGCUGAGAUUAAAUCAUCCACAUCAAGAUACCUUGCAACGCUGCUCUUGCCGAGUUUCGUGUUGGCGCAAGCCAAUCCAGCGUUGUCAUUGGUGGUGUGGACUCUCAAGCGUGAGGUAAGGGCAAUUCGUGGAUGCCUUGGCAUGUACAGGCGAUGAAGGACGUGGCACGCUGCGAUAAGCUGCGGUGAGGUGUGAGCAACCUUUGACCCGCAGAUUUCCGAAUGGGGAAACCCGG
rnacentral:sRNA from 1 species